GAAUGGCUCAUUAUAUAAGUUAUCGUUUAUUUGAUAGUACCUACUACUUGGAUAACCGUGGUAAUUCUAGAGCUAAUACAUGCUAAAAAUCCCGACGGAAGGGAUGUAUUUAUUAGAUUAAAAACCAAUGCCCUUCGGGGCUCACUGGUGAUUCAUGAUAACUCCUCGAAUCGCAUGGCCUUGUGCCGGCGAUGGUUCAUUCAAAUUUCUUCCCUAUCAACUUUCGAUGUUUGGGUAUUGGCCAAACAUGGUUGCAACGGGUAACGGAGGGUUAGGGCUCGACCCCGGAGAAGGAGCCUGAGAAACGGCUACUACAUCCAAGGAAGGCAGCAGGCGCGCAAAUUACCCAAUCCCGACACGGGGAGGUAGUGACAAUAAAUACUGAUACAGGGCUCUUUUGGGUCUUGUAAUUGGAAUGAGUACAAUUUAAAUCCCUUAACGAGGAACAAUUGGAGGGCAAGUCUGGUCCAGCAGCCGCGGUAAUUCCAGCUCCAAUAGCGUAUAUUAAAGUUGUUGUGGUUAAAAAGCUCGUAGUUGAACCUUGGGCCUGGCUGGCCGGUCCGCCUCACCGCGUGUACUGGUCCGGCCGGGCCUUCCCUCUGUGGAACCCCAUGCCCUUCACUGGGUGUGGGGGGAACAGGACUUUUACUGUGAAAAAAUUAGAGUGCUCCAGGCAGGCUAUGCUCGAAUACAUUAGCAUGGAAUAAUAGAAUAGGACGUGUGGUUCUAUUUUGUUGGUUU
rnacentral:rRNA from 1 species